rnacentral:rRNA from 1 species
UACGGGGGGGGCAAGCGUUGUUCGGAAUUACUGGGCGUAAAGGGCGCGUAGGCGGCCCGUUAAGUCGAACGUGAAAUCCCCAGGCUCAACCUGGGAACUGCGUCCGAUACUGGCGGGCUUGAAUCCGGGAGAGGGAUGCGGAAUUCCAGGUGUAGCGGUGAAAUGCGUAGAUAUCUGGAGGAACACCGGUGGCGAAGGCGGCAUCCUGGACCGGCAUUGACGCUGAGGCGCGAAAGCCAGGGGAGCAAACGAG